rnacentral:rRNA from 1 species
CCUACGGGAGGCAGCAGUGGGGAAUAUUGCACAAUGGGGGAAACCCUGAUGCAGCCAUGCCGCGUGUGUGAAGAAGGCCUUCGGGUUGUAAAGCACUUUCAGCGAGGAGGAAAGGGUGUAAGUUAAUACCUUACAUCUGUGACGUUACUCGCAGAAGAAGCACCGGCUAACUCCGUGCCAGCAGCCGCGGUAAUACGGAGGGUGCGAGCGUUAAUCGGAAUUACUGGGCGUAAAGCGUGCGCAGGCGGUUUGUUAAGCGAGAUGUGAAAGCCCCGGGCUCAACCUGGGAACCGCAUUUCGAACUGGCAAACUAGAGUCUUGUAGAGGGGGGUAGAAUUCCAGGUGUAGCGGUGAAAUGCGUAGAGAUCUGGAGGAAUACCGGUGGCGAAGGCGGCCCCCUGGACAAAGACUGACGCUCACGCACGAAAGCGUGGGGAGCAAACA